UAACAAUACAGGACUGUUUAGAGGCCCUGUAAUUGUAAUGAGUCCACUUGAAAUCCUUUAACUAUGAUCAAUUGGAGGGCAAGUCUGGUGCAGAGUGACUGACCCAUGCGUGCUGCAGCUGAAAAUCCACUAUCGCCUGCUGCUGCUCGCACAGUCACUCCAG
rnacentral:rRNA from 1 species